GCCCGUGAAGCUGUACGGAGCGUAAAGGUGGCCCAGAGACAGAUGGAAAAAAGAUGAAGAACAAUUGACAGCGAUUCCCUACGAAGGCACUUGAAGACAGAGCAGACAUCAAAUCAGCAGCAAUGGACAAUGACGAUGGUGUGAGAGAGCAAGACAAGAUCUGGGGCCUGUUUCAUAAAAGACUUUCAACUGUUGCAACUUUGCCAUUAUUGUAACUACCAUGGUAACAUGGCUCAACAGCCAAUCAAAAUCGAGGUCUCAGUUACAAUAGUGGCAUGGUUACCAUAAUUGUAAUUCUUUAUGAAACGGGACCCAUGGAGGAACGCCAUCAUGACAGACAGAGGGAGAGGAUCUUUGCCAGUACAGCUCCUUCUGAUAAACGAUCUUGGAGAAACAGAGAGAACGGGAUGUGAGUGAGAAGAUUCCCCUUGGUCUUCCUAAUGCUGGAGGAGGCAGAUCAGAUGUUGCACAGUUUGAUCAGAGGUUAUUCAAUCCGUCAAAGACAAUGAAGACAAUUUGAGAGAGCAAGACACGAUCAGGGAGGAACGCCAUCAUGACAGACAGAGGGAGAGGAACUUUGCCCGUAAAGGAUGUUAGUGAGAAGAUUGCCCUUGGACUGGAGGAGGCAGAUCAGAUGAUACACAGUUUGAUCAGAGGUUAUUCAAUCCGUCAAAGCAAGCACAGAGUGCUAUCCAUGAGAGCAAAGCCCUGAAAUCAAGGGUUCAUCUGGUAGACAUGGCCCAAGAGGAAGGACCCUGAUUACGAGCAGGUCAUUGCGAUGCUGGUGGAUUAACUAACAGAUUUGGCUCAAAAGUCAAGAAAAUGCCUGGAAAUAUGCCACCAGAAGUAGUG